AGAGUUUGAUCCUGGCUCAGGACGAACGCUGGCGGCGUGCUUAAUACAUGCAAGUCGAGCGAGGUUACUGUUUUGGAUCCCUUCGGGGUGAAGAAGCUUUAACCUAGCGGCGGACGGGUGAGUAACGCGUGGGUAACCUACCCCAAAGUCCGGGAUAACAGCGGGAAACCGCUGCUAAUACCGGAUGCCUUUACCUUGGGGCAUCUUGAGGUAAAGAAAGGCAACGCUUUGGGAUGGGCCCGCGUCCCAUUAGCUAGUUGGUGAGGUAACGGCUCACCAAGGCGACGAUGGGUAGCCGGCCUGAGAGGGUGGACGGCCACACUGGGACUGAGACACGGCCCAGACUCCUACGGGAGGCAGCAGUAGGGAAUAUUGCGCAAUGGACGGAAGUCUGACGCAGCGACGCCGCGUGAGCGAUGAAGGUCUUCGGAUCGUAAAGCUCUGUCCUUGGGGAAGAAGGCGAAAGCUUGACGGUACCCAAGAAGAAAGCCCCGGCUAACUACGUGCCAGCAGCCGCGGUAAUACGUAGGGGGCGAGCGUUGUCCGGAAUUACUGGGCGUAAAGGGUGCGUAGGCGGCCCUUUAAGUCGGAUGUGAAAGCCCGCGGCUUAACCGCGGAAUGGCAUUCGAAACUGGAGGGCUUGAGUGUCGGAGAGGGUAGUGGAAUUCCCAGUGUAGCGGUGAAAUGCGUAGAUAUUGGGAGGAACACCAGUGGCGAAGGCGACUACCUGGACGAUAACUGACGCUGAGGCACGAAAGCUAGGGGAGCAAACAGGAUUAGAUACCCUGGUAGUCCUAGCCGUAAACGAUGGGUACUAGGUGUGGGUGGUUUCGAUACCAUCCGUGCCGUAGUUAACGCAUUAAGUACCCCGCCUGGGGAGUACGUGCGCAAGCAUGAAACUCAAAUGAAUUGACGG
rnacentral:rRNA from 1 species